rnacentral:piRNA from 1 species
UCCAGACCCAGAUGGUGUCUCACUGUGGCA